rnacentral:rRNA from 1 species
AGAGUUUGAUCCUGGCUCAGAUUGAACGCUGGCGGCAGGCCUAACACAUGCAAGUCGGGCGGAAACGAUGGUAGCUUGCUAUCAGGCGUCGAGCGGCGGACGGGUGCGUAACACGUGGGAAUCUACCUAGUAGUGGGGGAUAGCCCGGAGAAAUCCGGAUUAAUACCGCAUACGCCCUAAGGGGGAAAGCAGGGGAUCUUCGGACCUUGUGCUAUUGGAUGAGCCCGCGUCAGAUUAGCUAGUUGGUGGGGUAAAGGCCUACCAAGGCGACGAUCCGUAGCUGGUCUGAGAGGACGAUCAGCCACACUGGGACUGAGACACGGCCCAGACUCCUACGGGAGGCAGCAGUGGGGAAUAUUGGACAAUGGGGGCAACCCUGAUCCAGCCAUGCCGCGUGUGUGAAGAAGGCCUUAGGGUUGUAAAGCACUUUCAGUAGGGAGGAAAAGUUAGUCGUUAAUAACGGCUAACCCUGACGUUACCUACAGAAGAAGCACCGGCAAACUCCGUGCCAGCAGCCGCGGUAAUACGGAGGGUGCGAGCGUUAAUCGGAAUUACUGGGCGUAAAGCGCGCGUAGGCGGCCUGAUAAGUUGGAUGUGAAAGCCCUGGGCUCAACCUAGGAACUGCAUUCAAAACUGUCUAGCUAGAGUACGAUAGAGGGGGGUAGAAUUUCAGGUGUAGCGGUGAAAUGCGUAGAGAUCUGAAGGAAUACCAGUGGCGAAGGCGGCCCCCUGGAUUGAUACUGACACUGAGGUGCGAAAGCGUGGGUAGCAAACAGGAUUAGAUACCCUGGUAGUCCACGCCGUAAACGAUGUCAACUAGCCGUUGGGGGGCUUGUCCCCUUAGUGGCGCAGCUAACGCGAUAAGUUGACCGCCUGGGGAGUACGGCCGCAAGGUUAAAACUCAAAUGAAUUGACGGGGGCCCGCACAAGCGGUGGAGCAUGUGGUUUAAUUCGAUGCAACGCGAAGAACCUUACCAGGUCUUGACAUCCUGCGAACUUUCUAGAGAUAGAUUGGUGCCUUCGGGAACGCAGUGACAGGUGCUGCAUGGCUGUCGUCAGCUCGUGUCGUGAGAUGUUGGGUUAAGUCCCGUAACGAGCGCAACCCUUGUCCUUAGUUGCUAGCAGGUUGGUGGGAACUCUAAGGAGACUGCCGGUGACAAACCGGAGGAAGGCGGGGACGACGUCAAGUCAUCAUGGCCCUUACGACCUGGGCUACACACGUGCUACAAUGGGGAGUACAAAGGGUCGCCAAGCCGCAAGGUGGAGCUAAUCCCAUAAAACUUCUCGUAGUCCGGAUUGGAGUCUGCAACUCGACUCCAUGAAAUCGGAAUCGCUAGUAAUCGCGAAUCAGAAUGUCGCGGUGAAUACGUUCCCGGGCCUUGUACACACCGCCCGUCACACCAUGGGAGUGGGUUGCAAAAGAAGUGGGUAGACUAACCUUCGGGAGGUCGCUCACCACUUUGUGAUUCAUGACUGGGGUGAAGUCGAAACAAGGUA